UCAAAAGCUGUAAACAAACGAUGAACUUGUUUACUUUGAAGACACACACUGUUUCAGUGGCAGUGUAUCAACUUCGUAUUUCGCAUAUUACGGCCUGGGACUAACGUUAUAUUCAACAGCAAUGCGGAAAGUUCCGCUAAUUUAAGAUAUCAUUCAAAAACAUGGGCGCACAAAAGUAAACAAGCUGCGUUUGACAAGCUCGCGGUGUCUAACGUUACUGACACAACAUACUCGAGCAAACUAUGAUUAUGGUCUUUUAUAGCGGUAAACACAGACGAAUUCAAAAGCACAAUAAUAUUGCUGUGUCCUCGAGAGGUUAAUGGCAGAGCUAGGUUGUUUCUGCGGGUUUAGGUGAGCUAAGCUAACUGGCUAACCAGCGAAGUGUCACUAGUCUGAAUGUGAAUAAGCGCGCUAAGCUGCCUCGCGCGAGCUAGCAACUGACACGAACGUCAUGUUACAGACGCUUCCCGAAAUCACUCCCCGGAUCAAAAGUUCCCAAAUGGCGUAGCAUACUGUACAGGCUCAAGGCUGGUAGGCUGCUGCACAAGCCCCCAUCGAGGCUGGGCAUUGGGGCCCAGGGGCCAUGGAGCUGGCUGAUGAAGAAGCAGAUUGACUUGGCCCUUGGUACCUUGAGGAGGAAGAAAAGAACAAGGUUUAAAUGCGGACAAUUCAUUUCAGCUUUCCUGGGAGCAGCUGAAUAAUAGAUGAUGUGUAGGAUACUCACCACGAUCUGGCUUUCAUGACCCGGGAUGCGGUCGUCCGCUUUCUGUAAUGGCCAAAGUCACGUAUCAAGUCUUGGGUCCUUACAUCUGACCUCUGAAGGUCCAGGGGCACCAUGGUGGGUGGAGACAUGUCCAGCUCCAGAAGCAUAAUGUUUUCAGCCUGGGGCAACAAAAGAUUAAUACAAGAUUAUACACUACAGUUCAAAAGAUUGGGGUCAAGUUUUAUCAUUACUAUUUAAUAAGAAAUUCUUGUUAAAUAAAGAAAUGUUACAUUAUAUACUGGCAUUAUCACUUUUAUUAUGCCAGUAAACUGUUAUAGAUGCAAUUUUUUAUAAAAUUUUGGAUAAGUCUCUGGGGGUUGAAUAAUUUUGAUUGCAGCUGAAAAUGCAGCCUUGUUGAGCAAAAGAUUUAAACAAAAAGCUUAAAAAAAUUAAUAAAGUAAUAUGUUUUAUUCCAUAA